AGAGUUUGAUCAUGGCUCAGGAUAAACGCUGGCGGCGUGCUUAACACAUGCAAGUCGAACGAGGGACAAAAGACGAGAUCUUUGGAUUAAAUUGACUGUUUCCAGUGGCGGACGGGUGAGUAACGCGUGGGGAACCUGCCUUAUACUGAGGGACAACAGCUGGAAACGGCUGCUAAUACCUCAUAUGCGCACAGGAAGGCAUCUUCCGGUGUGGAAAGAAAUUCGGUAUAAGAUGGCCCCGCGUCUGAUUAGGCAGUUGGUGAGAUAACAGCCCACCAAACCGACGAUCAUUAUCCGACCUGAGAGGGCGAACGGCCACAUUGGGACUGAGACACGGCCCAGACUCCUACGGGAGGCAGCAGUGGGGAAUAUUGCACAAUGGAGGAAACUCUGAUGCAGCGACGCCGCGUGAGUGAAGAAGUACUUCGGUAUGUAAAGCUCUAUCAACAGGGAAGAUAAUGACGGUACCUGACUAAUAAGCCCCGGCUAACUACGUGCCAUCAGUCGCGGUAAUACGUAGGGGGCGAGCGUUAUCCGGAAUUAUUGGGCGUAAAGAGUACGUAGGUGGUUUCCUAAGCGAGGGGUUUAAGGCAAUAGCUUAACUAUUGUUCGCCCCCCGAACUGGGUAACUUGAGUGCUGGAGAGGAAAGCGGAAUUCCUAGUGUAGCGGUGAAAUGCGUAGAUAUUARGAGGAACACCAGUGGCGAAGGCGGCUUUCUGGACAGUAACUGACACUGASGUACGAAAGUGUGGGGAGCAAACAGGAUUAGAUACCCUGGUARUYCACACCGUARACGAUGAGCACUAGGUGUCRGGUUCGCAAGAAUUYSKKKSMSSAGUUAACGCAUUAAGUGCUCCGCCUGGGGAGUACGUACGCAAGUAUGAAACUCAAAGGAAUUGACGGGGACCCGCACAAGCAGCGGAGCAUGUGGUUUAAUUCGAAGCAACGCGAAGAACCUUACCAGGACUUGACAUCCCUUUGACAGCUUUGAUAACGAUAAGCUUUCUUCGGACAGAGGUGACAGGUGGUGCAUGGUUGUCGUCAGCUCGUGUCGUGAGAUGUUGGGUUAAGUCCCGCAACGAGCGCAACCCUUGUCUUUAGUUGCCAUCAUUAAGUUGGGCACUCUAAAGAGACUGCCGGGGACAACUCGGAGGAAGGUGGGGAUGACGUCAAAUCAUCAUGCCCCUUAUGUUGUGGGCUACACACGUGCUACAAUGGCCGGUACAAAGAGUCGCAAGACCGAGAGGUGGAGCAAAUCUCAAAAACCGGUCCCAUUUCGGAUUGCAGGCUGCAACUCGCCCGCAUGAAGUGGGAGUUGCUAGUAAUCGUGUAUCAGAAUGCCACGGGGAAUGCGUUCCCGGCUCUUGUCCACCCCGCCCGUCACCCCAUGGAAGUUGGGGGCCCCCGAAGUUGGACAGCAAAUAGUUUACCUAAGGCGAAAUCAAUGACUGGGGUGAAGUCGUAACAAGGUAACCGUA
rnacentral:rRNA from 1 species